AACAUACUCCCUCCGUCCGGAAAUACUUGUCAUCAAAAUGAAUAAAAGAGGGUACAUCCUUUUUUGUUCAUUUUGAUGACAAGUAUUUUAGUUCUAGAUACAUCCUUUUUCGUUCAUUUUGAUGACAAGUAUUUUCGGACAGAGGGAGUAUUAG
rfam:Triticum aestivum genome assembly, contig: Triticum_aestivum_CS42_TGACv1_scaffold_502490_6BL